AGUGAACGCUGGCGGUAGGCCUAACACAUGCAAGUCGAACGGCAGCACAGGAGAGCUUGCUCUCUGGGUGGCGAGUGGCGGACGGGUGAGGAAUACAUCGGAAUCUACUUUUUCGUGAGGGAUAACGUAGGGAAACUUACGCUAAUACCGCAUACGACCUACGGGUGAAAGCAGGGGACCUUCGGGCCUUGCGCGAUUGAAUGAGCCUAUGUCGGAUUAGCUAGGUGGCGGGGUAAAGGCCCACCAAGGCGACGAUCCGUAGCUGGUCUGAGAGGAUGAUCAGCCACACUGGAACUGAGACACGGUCCAGACUCCUACGGGAGGCAGCAGUGGGGAAUAUUGGACAAUGGGCGCAAGCCUGAUCCAGCCAUACCGCGUGGGUGAAGAAGGCCUUCGGGUUGUAAAGCCCUUUUGUUGGGAAAGAAAUCCAGCUGGCUAAUACCCGGUUGGGAUGACGGUACCCAAAGAAUAAGCACCGGCUAACUUCGUGCCAGCCGCCGCGGUAA
rnacentral:rRNA from 1 species